rnacentral:ncRNA from 1 species
CCGGCCGUGAAUGCGAGCUCCAAGUGGGCCAUUUUUGGUAAGCAGAACUGGCGAUGCGGGAUGAACCGAAAGCCGGGCUACGGUGCCAAAGUGCGCGCUAACCCAGAUCCCACAAAGGGUGUUGAUUGAUUAAGACAGCAGGACGGUGGUCAUGGAAGUCGAAAUCCGCUAAGGAGUGUGUAACAACUCACCUGCCGAAUCAACUAGCCCCGAAAAUGGAUGGCGCUUAAGCGCGCGGCCUAUGCCCGGCCAUCGCGGCGAUUGCGAGGCCCCGAUGAGUAGGAGGGCGUGGGGGUCGUGGUGCAGCUCUGGGCGCGAGCCCGAGUGAAACGGCCCCCAGUG